CCCCUGGACUCUGCAGCGCCUGGUCGCCUGCCCGCUGGACUCUGCUUGCCGCGAAGCCCGCAUUUAAGGACAGGGGGGCCCCGCCACUAGGAAGGGACAGCUAAGCUGCCCAGGCGACGCUGUGCCCCCCUGUGAUGACAGCGGGAGUUCCCAGGAACAAACCCCCUGAUGCAAAGCGUGGUAUACAUUCUGCUGGAGGAAGAGCAGCGCUUGAUGGUCCUUAUACUCAGAUAUCCCUGGCCUGGAGAGUCACGUGACAUCUCAAGGGAAAAUGAUCCAGAAAGGAGUUGCCAAAGGGAAUCUGUGAAGUACCAGUCAGCCAUGGCUAUGUCUAGCAGUUCAUCCACCAUUAACUCCUCAACUUGAAAAAUCCUUCAGGAAUCCACGUGAAAGGUAUGCAUGGCCUCCAUGGACAGCAGACAGUAGAAAAGCAGAGAGGCUUCAUUCUUCACAACCUCUG
rnacentral:lncRNA from 12 species